rnacentral:rRNA from 1 species
CCCUCAAGGAGUGUCGGAGACUACGACGUUGAUAGGUCAGGUGUGUAAGUGCUGUGAGGCAUUGAGCUAACUGAUACUAAUUGCCCGUGAGGCUUAACCAUACAACACCCAAGGGGUUU